CCGGGUGUCCAUACCGGAGGGGCCACACCCGUUUCCAUUCCGAAUACGGCCGUUAAGCCCUCCAGGGCCGAUGGUACUGUUCUGGCAACGGAAUGGGAGAGUAGGUCGAUGCCCGGC
rnacentral:rRNA from 1 species